rnacentral:lncRNA from 1 species
GUUGCUACCCCCUAACCUUAAAGGUCUUCUUCUUCUGGAUACCAACAUUACACAACAAAACCAUACAGAACACCUCUAAGCAGCGAUCUUCAUUGAGAAAGCCUUGAAGAUAUGGAAAAAACCCUAAAAUACACCCAUCGUCACCAUCCUGGCAAAGAACGCCGCCAGCCCUAACCCUAAUCUCCAUAGACGCUGCCUUACACCACCAGUAGCCUAGCCGCCAUCAACCCCUUAAUCUGAACAACUAAGAACACCAGCGAAGAGACCCUUGUCGCCAGACCUCUCAUGCCGCUGACCAACUCCACGCCGGCAACCACUCACUUCAACGUCGACGUCCAACUCCACAUCCCUCGUCAGCCAUUAACGAACCCCACCAGCACUCACUGAAAACCAGUCGCCCAACCCCAUAACGCUGGCGACCACAUACACACAACGACAGCACAAAACCUGACGGUGAAGCUCCAAAACCAGUUGCUAUUUUCUCCAUAGAUCUGGACCUUUAAAUUCUAGUAUUACAACUCAUUCUUCAAGGAAUAACACAAUAGCAAAGCUAUCAAAUUCAGCAGUUGUAGUUCCCCAUUCACUCCCAAUACAAUUCCAAACAGUCAUUGAUUCAUGUUCAAAAUACAUCGGAGUCGAUCCAAGGAAUGCGCGGAGUUACGAGGUUUUCCGGUGAGUUUUCCAUGUUAUAGUCACGGUUCUGCUCGUUGAGUUCGGGUUUGUUUUGCAACUUUGGAUCCGUCAAUAGAAGGUCCAAUUAUUUAUUUGCUACUCCAUAUUUCUCAAUAUGAUGUAUGUGUUCAUGACUUAGUUCUGACUUGUGUGAUGUUCCUCUCUUUUGAAAUGAUCUGAAGUUAUCGCACUACCAUAUCUUAGUGAAUAUUCAGAAGUCAAAUUGGCCAUUUUAUUUAAUCACAGGGAUGAAUCAUAAUUUGGGAUAAAUAACACAAAUAACAAGCUAUUAGUUUAAACAACAACAACAACAACUAGUACCCAGUAUACUCCCACCAGGUGGGGUCUGGGGAGGGUAAUAUGUAGACAGCCUUACCCCUANNNNNNNNNNNNNNNNNNNNNNNNNNNNNNNNNNNNNNNNNNNNNNNNGGGUAAUAUGUAGACAGCCUUACCCCUACCCGAAAGGGCAGGGAGGCUGCUUCCAAUCGACCCUCGGCGCAUAGGAUAGAAUGAAAAGCUGCAUUGGAACAAAGACAAAAUUAGGUACCAAAGCAAGACAAAACAAAAUAAUACAACAUAAGUAAUCCCGCAGAGAUAACGUAUAUAAUUAUAUAAACAUAAGAAACAUAAAUACAGUCGCAUGCAAUAAUAACAAGCAGUUACUACCAUACUAACAACCAAAAGGGGACCUAAGCUAAAACACUAGUCAUCUAUGGUAACCCUACUAUCCCACACCCAACCCCGGGAGAGGCGAACGAAGGACUCUAUGAGCCCCUAGCCUGCAACCCUGAUUCUAGACCUCCAGACUCCCACCCGGGAGAGGUGAACGAAGGACUCUACAAAUAACAAGCUAUUAGUUUAGUUGAAUAAAAAAUGCAAUAGGAUUGUAAAUCGAAGAAAUGCAUAGCUGGGUUUACUGUUAAGUUCUUUAAUGUUCCUAUUUCGUUAUUACUAGUUACUUAUUAAAUGCUAGGAGCAUGCUAGGUCAUCAAUAUUUGGUAGGUAAGACCUAGAAUUUUGUUAGUUUGGAGGCGAGGGUCAUUCCCUAAGUUAAAUUAUCCCCUGGAAUGCCUUAAGGGAUUUGUAUAUAUUUUAUUUUAGGAGUAUUCCCCGAAGUGAAUGUAAUUGGCGGCCGAAAGCGAACUCGUAGUACUUUUAUUCUUGAUUUAUAUUUAUUUUAUUUUAUUAGAUGGGGACGACCUCAAACCUCUUUUAAUUGCUUAUUUUCUUUUUAUGUGUCAUUACCUCAAUUCGAAUAUUCUAAAAGCCGAUUAAAUCAAGUAUGCAACCGUACUAGUUACGGGACUUGGGGAGUGCCUAACUCCUUCUUCCUGAGUCAAAUGAACCCUUUUAUCCUAAUCUCUGGUGUAGACUUAGUCCUAGAGUAGAAGUGUUUUAAAAGGAAAAGUUAUUUUUUUAAAACGGUGACAUGGCACAUCGAAAUCAAAUGUCAGGUGGCGACUCUGAGUUAUUUCCUUUUUGAACAUAAUUUUUCUUCACUUUUAAAAUUGAAAAAUCCUUUUCGAGCUUUAUUAAAUUCUUUUAUUAACUUAAGAGGGUUAAGUGAGGUUGUUUAAAAAAAGGGGUAUGACAUCUCUGACGACUCUGUUGGGGGCUUGCAGGUUCGAGCUAGUACUUGAUCUUGUUGGCUUUUAGAAUAUUAGGUUGAGGUUUUUAUGUGUUUUGUUUGCUUUAUUUGAUUUAUUUUUGUUUAUGUCUUUUUAUUAUUUGCUAAUUGCUUAUUUGUUUAUAGUUUUUCCUUUAUGUGUUACUGCUUUAUAAACUAUCAUCAUUUGCAUAACCAUGGGUCUUCUUUCUACAAUAAGUCUCGGAGUACGCGUCGCAUGCAUGAACUCUUUGUUGAGUCACCCUUAAUUUAGGAGGGGGCCCGUCGGACGUAUGGAGUGGGUGGAAAGCUUGAGCAGCCACUAUCGACCACACGCUCCCCCGAAUUGCCUUGUUAGUGAACCCCAAACUUAGAUCAGCCUUUAGGUCAUUUUGUUCGAAUCAUGUCAUUCGCACCUAGUAGGAAUCGGUCCCAGGUACCGUGUCCCUUUGUAAGGAGCCUGUUUAAAUUUUGUCAAAAUGGGCCCGUAGCCCAAAAUGACAUUUAAUCAUCCUAUGUGCUAAAUGUUGCAUCUUUGAGGGUAAAAAAGUCAUUUGACGGACCACUGUUUGGGAAAGAAGGGUAAAAAAUGAAGAAAGUAGGGCCCACCCGCAUUUUUCUUUCAUGGUUCUCCAAAAAUAAAAAUAAAAAGAUGAAAAUGAGAAAAUCCAAAAAGAUUUUACACUCUUUCAUUAUUUUUCAAAAUUCAAAAAAAGUAGAAAGUGAAAACCCAAAAAAGCUUUUAUACUUUUCCAUUAUUUUCCAAAAACUCGGUCCCAGGUAUCGUGUCCCUUUGUAGGAAGGCUAUCCAAAUUUUGUCAAAAAUGAGUCCGUGGCCCAAAAUGAUAUGUAACCAUCCUAUGUGCUAAAUGUUUCAUCUUUGAGGGUAAAAAGGUCAUUUGACGAAUCGAUGCUUGGAAAAUAAGUGUAAAAAUGAAGCAAGUAGGGCUCACUUACAUUUUUCUUUCAUACUUUUCCAAAAACAAAAAAAUCAAAAAUCAAAAAAGUUUUUACAAUUUCCUAUCAAUUUUCAAAAAUAAAAAAAAUUCUAUUUUUUUAUACACUUUCCCAUCAUUUUCCAAAAAUGAAACAAAGGAAAAGAAAAUCCAAAAAGAUUUUGCACUUUCCCAUUAUUUUUCAAAACUUCUAAAAAAAUAAAAAAAAUCCGAAAAGAUUUUACAUAUUUUCCAUCAUUUUCCAAAAAUUCAAAAAGAAGUUGAAAAAUAAAAUCCAAAAAGAUUUUACAGUUUUCAUCAUUUCUCAAAAACACAAAAAAUAUGGUUUUUUUCAAACUAGUUUCAUUUUUUUAAAGGCGACUUUCUCCCAUGUCCAAUCUUUCCGAACUACGCGAACCUGAUUCUCGUCUUUCGAGACGUGAUACGUAGAUAACCCACAUAUGUAGAUAACCCACAUAGGUCUUAGUCAAACUUUUCAUGCCCGGCCACUUUUGGCCACAUCGACCAUUCUUGCCAAAUGGGGUCAUUUUCACAAAAGUGGUUCAAUUACCCACGUAUUAGUAUCUUGAGUCCACAACUAGCUUUCAUAUUUCUUUAAGGUCCUUCCAUUUUUAGUUACAUCUUUAGCCACUUUUGGCCAUAUUGUCCGUUUUUGCAAAAUAGAUCAUUUCUGUCAAUUAAUCUUGGGCCAUAAUUAUUGGGAGUUUGAUUUCAUAUAAGUAUUAGUGAGGUAUUUUUUCAUGUCUUUGAGGUCAUCUUUGUUGAUUUUGCGCUAGUCGCCACGUAGGUCAUUUUACAAAAAUAGCCUUAAUCAUGCCUUACACAUUUCCAAUAAAAGGUGUCGUGGCGUCACAUGUGUCUUGACUCACUAACUCUAUUUGAUCUUAUUUUUACCAUUCAGGUAUGGAGCAAUUUGCUAGAGUUUGAGCAUGACAAAUACCCCAAAAACAUUCUAGUCAAGACCAUUGCAUGCACGAGCUGCUUGAGGAAGCUUUUUAUUUUUUUUAGUCUAUCUUAUGUUGUCUUUUAAUUUUUAGCAGUAUCGAAUCUUUCAGUUUAGUUAAAUUGUCGAGCCUUUUUUAAUAGUACUUCCUGUUUUGUAUUUGAAAAUCCAAAAAAAGUUAUAAAUGAA